GGCAGUGUUGCAAGUACAUAUCGGAAUCUCUUUGGCUGGCUCUAAGAAAGAGUUUGAACUUAUUUACCUCCUUAGCCCUAUGUAACAGUGCUGUCCCCGGCAUAGGUCCAUCUCUGCAGAAGCCAUUUCAGGAGUACCUGGAGGCUCAACGGCAGAAGCUUCACCACAAAAGCGAAAUGGGCACACCACAGGGAGAAAACUGGUUGUCCUGGAUGUUUGAAAAGUUGGUCGUUGUCAUGGUGUGUUACUUCAUCCUAUCUAUCAUUAACUCCAUGGCACAAAGUUAUGCCAAACGAAUCCAGCAGCGGUUGAACUCAGAGGAGAAAACUAAAUAAGUAGAGAAAGUUUUAAACUGCAGAAAUUGGAGUGGAUGGGUUCUGCCUUAAAUUGGGAGGACUCCAAGCCGGGAAGGAAAAUUCCCUUUUCCAACCUGUAUCAAUUUUUACAACUUUUUUCCUGAAAGCAGUUUAGUCCAUACUUUGCACUGACAUACUUUUUCCUUCUGUGCUAAGGUAAGGUAUCCACCCUCGAUGCAAUCCACCUUGUGUUUUCUUAGGGUGGAAUGUGAUGUUCAGCAGCAAACUUGCAACAGACUGGCCUUCUGUUUGUUACUUUCAAAAGGCCCACAUGAUACAAUUAGAGAAUUCCCACCGCACAAAAAAAGUUCCUAAGUAUGUUAAAUAUGUCAAGCUUUUUAGGCUUGUCACAAAUGAUUGCUUUGUUUUCCUAAGUCAUCAAA
rnacentral:lncRNA from 1 species